rnacentral:lncRNA from 1 species
UUAUUUCAUUUUGACCGCGCUCUUUAUCUUUCCAUUUUACUCUUGCUUAUCUUUAGCCGGACCUCCGCAUUUAUCUCUGGAAAUUAACCACAAAUUCGAAUUCUCCCUCAUCCCUUCCGGCUUUAUCUCUGAUAAAUUCAAGAUAUACGUUUUCUUCAUCAUCUCCUCUAUUCAAUCUAGGGUUUUUACGAGCUUUUGAUUGCUGAUUUUCGUUUUUGUGUAAUAACCACUUUUGUUUGCUCAUAUUUUCAACUUCCUCAUGUUUUUAUUGAUUGGAGCUUGCGAAGGAACUGAUGGCGAUGAACCAAGGUAAAAGGUCUAGCAUUUUGCUUCCCUUCAUCCUAUCUUAGCCAGGUAAAAGUGUCACUAACUGCUUCCCCUCAUGUUUAUGUUCUUGGACUGCGAUUCAAUAAGAUAAAUUAAAUGUUUCUCUGUUGUUGUGCAUCUUAAAUCUAUAGAUAAUGUUACUAAUGUGCUUUUUGAGGAAUAUUAUACUUUAUUCUUGAUCUACUGUUAUUGGGUGAAAACUCGUGUUGAAACGGAGAUCCUAUCAAAGUUUGCUUAUAAACUAUAUAACGAUGUAUUUCUCCAAGAAAGGAGAAAGCACGGUCUUUUUAUAUAUACGUUUGUGCCUACAGGAAGAAGUAUUGAAAUAUUCUAUUUUGUUUAAUAUUGUGAAUUCACUUUUUUUUCCAGGUUGUCGACCCAAUCAGUGAUUCCUAUCGGAUGACCCUAAAUCACAACAGAUAUUUCAACAUAUGAACAACUACAACAAUGUUAGUAUAUUUAAAUUUCAUUGUGAUGAUUUCUUUGUAAUUUUCUAUGUAACUUUGUAUAUUGACAGCUACAUAAAAGAAAUUAGUAGACCUAUACUUUGAAGGAUGAUAUAAAAGAAGUCCAUUAACUUUUGAAAUUUUGUAUUUGUAUAGGUCAAGGAAUUGUUGAAGGUUAGUAGCAACAACAUGUCCCAUAGUAAUCCAAAUUUUAAUUAUAGUAGGGAUGGUAUUUGGAAAGUUGUUUAUUAAAGGGUAAAUGACGAAAUUAUGCUAAUACACAUGUAUUUUUGUUUCAUUCGUCACACAUAUUUAGUGAUUAAACUCUUAACCCUUUAAAUUACGAAUUUUCCCUAAUAAAGAAAACGAUAUAAAAGAGAAUGAACCCUUAGAAGCACCUGAGUCUUUUCCUGAUCGAUUGUACAUACUUUUUACUUUUCAUUUACAAUUCCUUGUAAGGACAUGGCAGCCCUUACAGUUAAAAACUAAGACCCAUAUUGAAGACCAAUCUUGAUUCUUUUUUUUUUUCCAUUUCAAAUUCAGACAUAGUUUGAAGUGGCAAUGUUUAUUAGAGGCAUGGAUGACAGAAUUGGUAUUUGGCCUUGAUUUAUCAGGAUGCAUUGUAGUGUCAGCAUUUCUUGAACUAAUAUUCGCAGCUAGAUCGUACAUGUGAAGGUGAUAUUGGACUACUGGAGAUUCGUCAUUGGAUGAAAAUUUGAACCUCUAAUAUUUAUAAGAGGAAUGUACUUAAAUUAUUUACAGGUUAUAACAGUAUGCAACCCAUAAUAGCAAGGUGCUUCAAUUUUUUAUACAUAUAUGGCGAUGUACUUGCAAUUUCUUAUUUAUAAUACCAACGUACUUACAUUUUGCUAAAACCCCACAAAAAUACACGUACUCUAGGAAGAGUAAAAAAAAAUGAAAUGUAGGUAUUUGGUGUAUCAAGUGGGUAAGAGGGGCAUUUUGGGUACUUCUUAUUUAUAAUUAUGUUACUUCCUAUUUUCACAAGAAUCUUCUUAUUGUAAAAUAUAUAAAAGGUUU